GGAGCAGGGGGUACGUUUCAGAAAUGAGGGCGCCCCAAGGCACUGGCUGGAUGGAGGGGGAAGGGCGCCUUCCAGGGCUCAUUGUCUGCGGAGGAGGCCACGGCCCCGCCGGGCGGCGUCCACGGCCCGGCCGGCGGCGGAGGAUGUGGGGCAGCUGGGCUGCAGAGGGGUCGGUCUGUCCGUCCUCCAAUCAAGACGCCUAUUGGUGAAACCCUACUCUUGACGACAUUUUAGCGGGAGAAACAAGCGUGAAAGGGCCAGGAGACAUGAGAAUCUUUAGACACAGCAGGAUCCGAGGGAAUACUCCUCCAUUUAAUUUGAAAGAUUCUACGGAAGUAAAAGUCUUUUAUUGUAAUAAUAUUUGUCCCAUGGCGCCUACUAUUUGUGAGGUCCUGGCCCUGACUUGUGUGCGUGUAUGGUUUAUCCUUCGUUCGAAGAGGACCACGACAUCAGGAAGAUGAUACUCAAGCCCGGAGUAGGAAGGCAUCUCACGGAUUAGGAAACCAUCUGAAUGAGCAUUCUCAGCAAUAAUUAAUUGUUUCUGUGGCGCUUUAAAAGUUACAAAGCGAUUUUCUCACAGGAACUCUAUGAAGUAGGUAGUAUAAAUAAUAAAAAAUAAAACUUUCCCAUCUCCUCUCCAAUCCAUCUUCCACACAAUUACCGACAUAAUCUAAAAUAUUACUUUACUUCAUGCGUGCUAUGUUCCAUCCAAGUUGGCCUAUUUGGUGGUUCCAGAAUUCAAUAUUCUGUCUCACAUCAUAUACGUUUGAAUAGACUUUCUCCAAGCCUCGAGGCCAGGAAUGAAUUUAACUUCCUCCUUACCUCCACCUUUCCAAGGCUCAACUCCAGUAUUGCCUUCUGGAAAUCUUUUACAAUCUGCCCCCCUCCCCAAAUUUUGUGUUUUACUGUUUAAAUGCAAUAAAGACAAGCCCAGGAGAAGAAUAGUAAGACCUUCGAUCCUCAGCAAGUGAAGUAAUCUCUUUGUGCUCCGCAACUCUGUAAAAUUCAACUGCAGUGAAGGUCCCCACCAGAUUUCAUAGGAAUUUCCUUAUCAAGAGUUCUCUUUAGCAAUAAAAUCAGUGGUCUGUCCCUAGCCUUUUCUAUUUUAAAUGUUGCAUGCCUCCAUUAGAAUAUUGGGUCCUUUUUGUUUUGUCUCAACACCACUUAGGGACUUUAAACACAUUACACACAGUUCGAUCCUACAGAUAAGGAAACAGGAUCACAGGUCAAAUGAUGUCACAGGUCAAUGACCUAAUGGCAGAAAUUUUUUAAACGAGAGUUCUUACUCCUCCUUUAAAUCUUUGCUAAAAUGUUAAUACUCAUACAGACUAUGUUUGUGACCGUCAAUUAUGUAGUAUAUCAAAAGCCCCAUUUUCCAAGUAAGCAAAGCAAACUGCGAUUCAGUAAAAUUAAUCUGCCAGGCGUAACACAGCUGAAACACUGGAGCUAAGACUUAGUCUGCAGUAGUACUAUCUACCUUGAAUAUAUAUGCUCAAAAAAAGUUGAAAGAAUGGACUAGUUUCUCACACCCCUUUAAUAAGCAUUUGUACUGAGUCUGAAGUUAACUUUUCAGUUACAUAUGAAACUUAUCAGAGUGAGUAAUGUAAAAUAUAAGGCCAAUUGUGGAAUUAUCUCUAGUUAACUUUAUUUUCAUCUUCACAAAUAAAAAUUACUUGAACAAUUAACAUAGCUUUGUCAGUGGUAGUAGAGUUGGACUUUAAGGUCUCAGCAAUAGGGUCCUAUACCAGUAACUUUCAAACAAAAUAAUAUUGCUCUACCAAACUGUAAUGUUAGUUUUUCAUGAAACUCUCAUUUUCUGAAGUAUGGCACACUCAAACGCCAGUUGUAAAUAGCUGUGAAUCAUAAAAGUCUGUGUAUUUUAUUCCUCCAUAUUAUUACUUUAACAUAAUCAAAGUGACCAAAGGCUGAUUCCAGAAAUGGAAAUCCCUACAUCAAUGCUCUUUGCACACAUUUUAGUUACUUGUUAACACCAAUCGGUCCUGCGUGGUUGUCUCCUUCAAGUGUAGGGCCUCCACAGCAGGAUUCCUGUUGGCUUAAAUGAACCAUUUAAAAGGAUUUUACUGCCUAACCACAGACAGUGUGAUCAAAUAUAAUUAAAGGGUUAUUCAUUUCCCUUGAGGCAGUUUAAGAUAAAAAGAAAUACAUAUUCUCUUCACCUAUUUUCCAGCUUAUGCUGAUUCACCCAUGCCAAACUCACCACUAAUCCAAUAAAACUAAUCUCUCUUCAGGGAGUCUUCUGUGCCUUUUUAAAAAAUUUAAUUUUAAAGACAAGUUUCUGUGGAAUGAAUGAAUAAAAAGUAAUAGUUGUUGGGGGGGGAAACGUGGAGUUACACUGUGAAUUUUAGUUUGGGGAAAAAAAUAAGAUUUCAGGCACAAAGCUAUCACACUUGGGACAAGAUUGCUUCUUAUCAAAGAAAUUUAUUUGCAAGUAAAUAAACAGGUUCUUUUGCAAUGUUUUGGAAAAAACAAACCCACAAAACAGAUUUUUGUCUACUUUCCAAAAAAAAAAAAAAAAGGAAAACCCCAAAGUAUUUACAAAAUUGCACAAACAAAAGUCAAAUUGGAAAACAUUCUUUCUAGGAUGAUUUAGAAAAGACCCACCCCUGCUCCUGAUGCACAUUUCUGAACUCAAGAACUGUACAAGUUCAGUUCCUACAGUUUAGCAUAAUUCCCAUCCUGGCUUUUGAUGUUAACCACCCCCCCCCC